GAGGGCUUCGGUGGUGAACCAGACUCUGGUUCGCGUGCAGCCAGAACAGCUUGCCAACCUUGGUUUUUACGAUUUUUUUUUUUUUCAGCUGCUGAGACAGGAAAUGACGUGAGGCUCUGAACACACUAUUACAGCAAGCAGCUGUUCUGAGAGAACUUUCUGUUUCCAGGCCCGGCACCUCAGAAUGUUGGCUUCUGUGUGGUCGGUUGUUGAAGACCAACUCUGUGCGAGGUGUUAGGUUGAGAAGAGGUGCAGCAGAGGAUGCUGGAGCCGCAGCUGAGGCUUUCCAACACUUGCUGUCAAAUUCGUUGAUGAGUUCCAACUACCCACAGCAACUCCCACUGCAGCCCAGGCUCUAGGAGAACCUCCAAGACCCUGAACUGUCCCUCUAACCCUGUUUGUGAUUCUAUUCUAUCUGAAAACUUCUGUCAUGGGGCUGUAUCCAUCAUCAGGCAGAAAAGUUACAAUCAGUGUCUCCGGCUACAAGGUGUUGAAAGAUUAUCCACCUGGUAUGUCCAUACGCGGCCCAAGGUAUACGUCCCAGAUGUGUCCAUC